UUUAAAAAAAAGCAUUCAAAUUCGAGCUUUCUGUAGUCCACGAAGUCCUCACGUAGACCAGACCUGCACAGAAUCAUCCGAGAGAAAGGCUGGGAGCAUCAGUCGCAGGUCAACACGUCGGUAAAGCCGGGCUAGACUCCGUGAGGCUGGAUGCACGCAACCACGAAGACACGCCGUCUUUCACAUCUAUUGACAGAAACGCGAGAGGGUGGAUUAAAAGUUGAUGAGCGCCGUAGCCUCUCUGACAUCCAGGGGCUGUGCGGACUGUCAGCGCUCGUCCGCGGACGCGUCCGGAUUAAAGUCCUGUUCGACGCCUCCCGCGCAGCUCGGUCACACUCGGUGGUCGCAGCUAAGGUGAAAAACGAGAGGGGGGAAGACCCUCCCCCUGCCUGGGACAACGGGGGGUCCGGUAAGUAGGUGGGCAGCAGGGGGACUGGUGUCACCUUGGAACAGCUCACGACUGCUUUAAAAGGAUGGCGCCCUGGCUACUGGAGCUGGCUGGAGACCAGCUCGCAAGAGUUCACCCGAGUCACAGGCUCGCCAGCACGCAUGGCUACCGUCGGUCACUAACAAGACACACUUGACUCACACGGAGCUACCUUGUGUCCAGUUCCCAGCACUGUUAUUUUAAAGGGUGCCUUCGCCGUGUAGCAUUGCACAGGUGAAACUGUACUCUUUGAACAGUACCGUGAGAAAACCACUCAAUUAUGCCCUGUGAGCUCUCAAAAUGAAACUAUAGUACGUAUAACAGGCUAAUACAAUGAAAACAUGCGCUCAACUUCGUCACUGUAGGACGCGUGUAUAUGCUGGGCUUUGAGUAAACUGUAGUAAUGUUACUCUUGCCUCAUGCGCAGUGAUGAUACUGAUUCAAAUGGGGGUAAAUUCACAUUUAAGGAAUUCGAAAGAAGAGGAGUGGCUGGUAAUGGAAUCAACUCGGUACUUUCUAAUACACUUAUCUGUCGCCCCGC